AACGUAGGUGGCAAGCGUUAUCCGGAUUUAUUGGGUGUAAAGGGUCCGCAGGCGGCACACCAAGUCAUUUGUUAAAUCGUUGGGCUUAACCCAGCGGCUGCGGGUGAGACUGGUGAGCUAGAGACUGGGAGAGGUAUGUGGAAUUUGUGGUGUAGUCGUAAUAAGCGUUGAUAUCACAAGGAACACCGAAGGCGAAGGCAGCAUACUGGAACAGUUCUGACGCUCAGGGACGAAAGCGUGGGGAGCGAAAGGG
rnacentral:rRNA from 1 species